AUUGAACGCUGGCGGCAGGCCUAACACAUGCAAGUCGAGCGAGCGGCGGACGGGUGAGUAAUAUAUCGGGAUCUGCCCGAUAGCGGGGGAUAACUACUGGAAACGGUGGCUAAUACCGCAUACUAUUGGAUGAACCCAUAUGGGAUUAGCUAGUAGGUGGGGUAAAGGCUCACCACGGCUACGAUCCCUAGCUGGUCUGAGAGGAUGACCAGCCACACUGGGACUGAGACACGGCCCAGACUCCUACGGGAGGCAGCAGUGGGGAAUAUUGGACAAUGGGCGCAAGCCUGAUCCAGCCAUGCCGCGUGUAUGAAGAAGGCCUUCGGGUUGUAAAGUACUUUUAGCGGGGAAGCGGUACCCGCAGAAGAAGCACCGGCUAACUCCGUGCCAGCAGCCGCGGUAAUUC
rnacentral:rRNA from 1 species